rnacentral:rRNA from 1 species
UACGUAGGGGGCAAGCGUUGUCCGGAAUUAUUGGGCGUAAAGCGCGCGCAGGCGGCCUCGUAAGCCCAGUGUUUAAGCUCGGAGCUCAACUCCGAUACGCACUGGGAACUGCGAGGCUUGAGUGCAGAAGAGGAAAGUGGAGUUCCACGUGUAGCGGUGAAAUGCGUAGAGAUGUGGAGGAACACCAGUGGCGAAGGCGGCUCACUGGCUCGUUUCUGACGCUCAGGCACGACAGCGUGGGGAUCAAACAGG